GAUAGAGGACACGACCAAGAUGGCGGCGGUGUCUGGCUUGGUGCGGAGACCCCUUCGGGAGGUCUCCGGGCUGCUGAAGAGGCGCUUUCACUGGACCGCGCCGGCUGCGCUGCAGGUGACAGUUCGUGAUGCUAUAAAUCAGGGUAUGGAUGAGGAGCUGGAAAGAGAUGAGAAGGUAUUUCUGCUUGGAGAAGAAGUUGCCCAGUAUGAUGGGGCAUACAAGGUUAGUCGAGGGCUGUGGAAGAAAUAUGGAGACAAGAGGAUUAUUGAUACUCCCAUAUCAGAGAUGGGCUUUGCUGGAAUUGCUGUAGGUGCAGCUAUGGUAUGUAAUACUCUUUAUGAAACUUAUCCAAAGACAUUUCUUGUUUUCUUUUUCUUUCUUUUGAGACAGAGUCUCACUCUGUUGUCCAGCCUGGAGUGCACUGGCACCAUCUCAGCUUCCAGGUUCAAGCGAUUCUCCUGCCUCAGCCUCCAUAGUGGCUGGGAUUACAGGUCGCGCCACUGUGCCUAGCCAAUUUUUGUGUUUUUAGUAGAGAUGGGGUUUUACCAAGUUGGCCAGGCUGGUCUUGAACUCCUGACCU
rnacentral:sRNA from 1 species